rnacentral:rRNA from 1 species
GAGUGAACGCUGGCGGUAGGCCUACCCCAUGCAAGUCGAACGGCAGCACAGUAAGAGCUUGCUCUUACGGGUGGCGAGUGGCGGACGGGUGAGGAAUACAUCGGAAUCUACUUUUUCGUGGGGGAUAACGUAGGGAAACUUACGCUAAUACCGCAUACGACCUACGGGUGAAAGCAGGGGAUCUUCGGACCUUGCGCGAUUGAAUGAGCCGAUGUCGGGUUAGCUAGUUGGCGGGGUAAAGGCCCACCAAGGCGACGAUCCGUAGCUGGUCUGAGAGGAUGAUCAGCCACACUGGAACUGAGACACGGUCCAGACUCCUACGGGAGGCAGCAGUGGGGAAUAUUGGACAAUGGGCGCAAGCCUGAUCCAGCCAUACCGCGUGGGUGAAGAAGGCCUUCGGGUUGUAAAGCCCUUUUGUUGGGAAAGAAAAGCAGCAGGUUAAUACCCCGCUGUUCUGACGGUACCCAAAGAAUAAGCACCGGCUAACUUCGUG